rnacentral:rRNA from 1 species
UACGUAGGCAGCGAGCGUUGUUCGGAGUUACUGGGCGUAAAGAGUGCGUAGGCGGUUUUCUAAGUUUGGUGUGAAAUCUCCCGGCUUAACUGGGAGGGUGCGCCGAAGACUGAAGGCUUGAGUAUGGGAGAGGUAAGCGGAAUUCCUGGUGUAGCGGUGAAAUGCGUAGAUAUCUGGAGGAACACCGGUGGCGAAGGCGGCAUCCCUGGAGCCAAUACUGACGCUCAUGUGCGAAAGCGUGGGGAGCAAACAGG